rnacentral:rRNA from 1 species
UACGUAGGGCGCAAGCGUUAUCCGGAAUUAUUGGGCGUAAAGAGCUCGUAGGCGGUUUGUCGCGUCUGCCGUGAAAGUCCGGGGCUCAACUCCGGAUCUGCGGUGGGUACGGGCAGACUAGAGUGAUGUAGGGGAGACUGGAAUUCCUGGUGAGGCGGUGAAAUGCGCAGAUAUCAGGAGGAACACCGAUGGCGAAGGCAGGUCUCUGGGCAUUAACUGACGCUGAGGAGCGAAAGCAUGGGGAGCGAACAGG